UUACUGAUGAAGAGUCCCAAACUAGGACGAGACAGCUGUCCAGUAC
rnacentral:hammerhead_ribozyme from 1 species